GAGCACUGUUUCGGCAAGGGGGUCAUCCCGACUUACCAACCCGAUGCAAACUGCGAAUACCGGAGAAUGUUAUCACGGGAGACACACGGCGGGUGCUAACGUCCGUCGUGAAGAGGGAAACAACCCAGACCGCCAGCUAAGGUCCCAAAGUCAUGGUUAAGUGGGAAACGAUGUGGGAAGGCCCAGACAGCCAGGAUGUUGGCUUAGAAGCAGCCAUCAUUUAAAGAAAGCGUAAUAGCUCACUGGUCGAGUCGGCCUGCGCGGAAGAUGUAACGGGGCUAAACCAUGCACCGAAGCUGCGGCAGCGACACUAUGUGUUGUUGGGUAGGGGAGCGUUCUGUAAGCCUGUGAAGGUGGCCUGUGAGGGUUGCUGGAGGUAUCAGAAGUGCGAAUGCUGACAUAAGUAACGAUAAAGCGGGUGAAAAGCCCGCUCGCCGGAAGACCAAGGGUUCCUGUCCAACGUUAAUCGGGGCAGGGUGAGUCGACCCCUAAGGCGAGGCCGAAAGGCGUAGUCGAUGGGAAACAGGUUAAUAUUCCUGUACUUGGUGUUACUGCGAAGGGGGGACGGAGAAGGCUAUGUUGGCCGGGCGACGGUUGUCCCGGUUUAAGCGUGUAGGCUGGUUUUCCAGGCAAAUCCGGAAAACCAAGGCUGAGGCGUGAUGACGAGGCACUACGGUGCUGAAGCGACAAAUGCCCUGCUUCCAGGAAAAGCCUCUAAGCAUCAGGUAACAUCAAAUCGUACCCAAAACCGACACAGGUGGUCAGGUAGAGAAUACCAAGGCGCUUGAGAGAACUCGGGUGAAGGAACUAGGCAAAAUGGUGCCGUAACUUCGGGAGAAGGCACGCUGAUAUGUAGGUGAAGCGACUUGCUCGUGGAGCUGAAAUCAGUCGAAGAUACCAGCUGGCUGCAACUGUUUAUUAAAAACACAGCACUGUGCAAACACGAAAGUGGACGUAUACGGUGUGACGCCUGCCCGGUGCCGGAAGGUUAAUUGAUGGGGUUAGCGGUAACGCGAAGCUCUUGAUCGAAGCCCCGGUAAACGGCGGCCGUAACUAUAACGGUCCUAAGGUAGCGAAAUUCCUUGUCGGGUAAGUUCCGACCUGCACGAAUGGCGUAAUGAUGGCCAGGCUGUCUCCACCCGAGACUCAGUGAAAUUGAACUCGCUGUGAAGAUGCAGUGUACCCGCGGCAAGACGGAAAGACCCCGUGAACCUUUACUAUAGCUUGACACUGAACAUUGAGCCUUGAUGUGUAGGAUAGGUGGGAGGCUUUGAAGUGUGGACGCCAGUCUGCAUGGAGCCGACCUUGAAAUACCACCCUUUAAUGUUUGAUGUUCUAACGUUGGCCCGUAAUCCGGGUUGCGGACAGUGUCUGGUGGGUAGUUUGACUGGGGCGGUCUCCUCCUAAAGAGUAACGGAGGAGCACGAAGGUUGGCUAAUCCUGGUCGGACAUCAGGAGGUUAGUGCAAUGGCAUAAGCCAGCUUGACUGCGAGCGUGACGGCGCGAGCAGGUGCGAAAGCAGGUCAUAGUGAUCCGGUGGUUCUGAAUGGAAGGGCCAUCGCUCAACGGAUAAAAGGUACUCCGGGGAUAACAGGCUGAUACCGCCCAAGAGUUCAUAUCGACGGCGGUGUUUGGCACCUCGAUGUCGGCUCAUCACAUCCUGGGGCUGAAGUAGGUCCCAAGGGUAUGGCUGUUCGCCAUUUAAAGUGGUACGCGAGCUGGGUUUAGAACGUCGUGAGACAGUUCGGUCCCUAUCUGCCGUGGGCGCUGGAGAACUGAGGGGGGCUGCUCCUAGUACGAGAGGACCGGAGUGGACGCAUCACUGGUGUUCGGGUUGUCAUGCCAAUGGCACUGCCCGGUAGCUAAAUGCGGAAGAGAUAAGUGCUGAAAGCAUCUAAGCACGAAACUUGCCCCGAGAUG
rnacentral:rRNA from 1 species